UGCGUAGGUGGCAGAUCAAGUUUGGAGUAAAAGGUAUGGGCUCAACCCGUACUGGCUCUGGAAACUGAUCAGCUAGAGAACAGAAGAGGACGGCGGAACUCCAUGUGUAGCGGUAAAAUGCGUAGAUAUAUGGAAGAACACCGGUGGCGAAGGCGGCCGUCUGGUCUGGAUUCUGACACUGAAGCACGAAAGCGUGGGAGCAAAUA
rnacentral:rRNA from 1 species